UCUUCCCUUGCAGACAACUCAGCAGGUUUAGACCAGUGACCUAUUACGCUGUGUGUUAUUACCCCCGCUGUGUGCUGGGCUACCACCACCCUCAAGCUGCCCUCUAGCCUCCCGGAGGAACCGGAAGAGGUGCUGCGAUCGCCCGGCCGGAGUCACAAGGUCACAUCAAGGGCCUCAUGGGACCUCUGGGGACCCUCGAGGACUUCGGAUGAAGAGACCUGUCUCAGAGCUGCCUGAAGCCCCUCCCAGCCUCCACCCUCCACAGGGCGCAGCAAGUCUGUCCCAGAAAGAGAAGCCCUGAAAUUAGCUGAGCUGAGCUCAGCUGACCGCUCAGACUACAGACUACAUUUCCCAGCCUCCCUUGCAGCUAGUGGUGGCUCCGCGACUGCCCAUUCUAGCCAAUGGGAUGAAAGCAGAAGCGCCCAGAGCCAGCCUCUGCGAACUUUCCUUAACAAGACACCUGGCCCAUGCCUUUGGCACCUUUGUCCCUUCCUUCAUUCCGCUGUCUGGACACCAGGGUAAUAGCUGGACUCCAGCUGCCAUGCUGAUCCACGAGGACAGGACCUCACCCUAGAAAUGGUGGGGCGGGGCGGUGAGCUGGAAGGACCUGGGCCCAAGGAAUUCCGGAAGCAAAGCCUCCCCACCAGCCCUGAUCUGCCACCCUCCA